UUGACCUCAAAUCGGGUGAGACUACCCGCUGAACUUAAGCAUAUCAAUA
rnacentral:rRNA from 59 species